GCUGCCUGACUUUACAGAUUCAAGAACAAGGGAAAAGACAGUACAGAAAUGAGGUGUUGCAGAAUAGAAGUCAAUCUGGAGCUGAGGAAAGCUAAGGAUGACCAGAUGCUGAAGAGGAGAAAUGUAAGCUCAUUUCCUGAUGAUGCUACUUCUCUGCUGCAGAAAAACCACAACAACCAGGGCGCUGUAAAUUGGUCUGUUGAUGACAUUGUCAAAGGCAUAAAUAGCAACAAUGUGGAAAGUCAGCUCCAAGCGACUCAAGCUGCCAGGAAACUACUUUCUAGAGGAAAACAGGCCCCCCCUGCCCAACCCCCGCUGCAAAGACAACUUAAUCUGGGCUGGUUUGAUUCCAAAAUGUGUGUCUUUCUUGGGCAGAACUGAUAGUAGUCCCAUUCAGUUUGAAUCUGCCUGGGUGCUCACUGACAUUGCUUCUGGGAAUCAGAACAAGCCAAGGUUGUGGUAGUUGGAGGUGCCAUCCUAGCAUUCAUUUCUCUGUUGGCAUCUCCCCAUGCUCACAUCAGUGGACAAGUUGUAUCGGCUCCAGGAAACAUUGCAUGUGAUAGCUCAGUUUUCCAAGACUUGGUUACUAAGUACGGUGCAGUUGACCUACCGUUGGCUCUUCUUGCAGUUCCUGAUAUGUCAUCUUUAGCAUGUGGUAACUUACGUAAUCUUACCUGGACACUUUCAAAUCUUUGCUGCAACAAGAAUCCUGCACCUGUGUUAGAUGCUGUUGAGGAAAUUCUUCCUACCUGAGUUCGACUCCUGCAUCUUGAUGAUCCAGAAGUAUUAGCAGAUACCUACUGGACUAUUUCCUACCUGACUGAUGGUCCAAAUGAAUGAAUUGACAUCGUCAUGGAAACAGGAGUUGUGCCCUAACUUGUGAAGCUUCUAGGAGCUUCUGAAUUGCCAAUUGUGACUCCUGCACUAAGAGCCAUAGGGAAUAUUGUCAGUGGAACAGAUGAACACACUCAGGUUGUGAUCGAUGCGGGAGCACUUGCUGUCUUUCCCAGCCUGCUCACCAACCCCAAAACUAACACUGGGAAGGAAGCUACGUGGACAACGUCAAACAUCACAGCUGGCCGUCAGGACCGUAUACAGCAAGUUGUGAAUCAUGGAUCAGUCCUAUUCCUUGCCAGUGUUCUACGUCAGAUCUUAGGACACAAAAGGAAGCUGUAUGAGCUGUGACCAACUAUAUCAGUGGCGAAACAGUUGAACAGAUUGUGUACCUCAUUCAUCGUGGCAUGCUGAUGAAACUCUCAACUGCGAAACAUACCAAGGUUAUUCUGCUUAUCCUGGAUGCCAUUUCAAAUAUCUUUUAGGCUGCUGAGAAACGAGGUGAAACUGAGAAACUUAGUAUGACGAUUGAAGAAUGUGGAGGCUUAGACAAAAUUGAAGCUCUACGAAACCAUGAAAAUGAGUGUGUAUAA